rnacentral:siRNA from 1 species
CUUCCUUGCUUGUGACUAACUCC